rnacentral:rRNA from 1 species
UGAAGAGUUUGAUCAUGGCUCAGAUUGAACGCUGGCGGCAGGCCUAACACAUGCAAGUCGAACGGUAACAGGAAGCAGCUUGCUGCUUUGCUGACGAGUGGCGGACGGGUGAGUAAUGUCUGGGAAACUGCCUGAUGGAGGGGGAUAACUACUGGAAACGGUGGCUAAUACCGCAUAACGUCGCAAGACCAAAGAGGGGGACCUUCGGGCCUCUUGCCAUCAGAUGUGCCCAGAUGGGAUUAGCUUGUUGGUGAGGUAACGGCUCACCAAGGCGACGAUCCCUAGCUGGUCUGAGAGGAUGACCAGCCACACUGGAACUGAGACACGGUCCAGACUCCUACGGGAGGCAGCAGUGGGGAAUAUUGCACAAUGGGCGCAAGCCUGAUGCAGCCAUGCCGCGUGUAUGAAGAAGGCCUUCGGGUUGUAAAGUACUUUCAGCGGGGAGGAAGGUGUUGUGGUUAAUAACCGCAGCAAUUGACGUUACCCGCAGAAGAAGCACCGGC